AUACGUAGGGGGCGAGCGUUGUCCGGAAUGAUUGGGCGUAAAGGGCGCGUAGGCGGCCCGGUAAGUCUGGAGUGAAAGUCCUGUUUUUAAGAUGGGAAUUGCUUUGGAUACUGUCGGGCUUGAGUGCAGGAGAGGUAAGUGGAAUUCCCAGUGUAGCGGAGAAAUGCGUAGAGAUUGGGAGGAACACCAGUGGCGAAGGCGACUUACUGGACUGUAACUGACGCUGAGGCGCGAAAGUGUGGGGAGCAAACAGGAUUAGAUACCCUGGUAGUCCACACUGUAAACGAUGAAUGCUAGGUGUAGGGGGUAUCGACCCCUUCUGUGCCGCAGUCAACACAAUAAGCAUUCCGCCUGGGGAGUACGGCCGCAAGGUUGAAACUCAAAGGAAUUGACGGGG
rnacentral:rRNA from 1 species